CUCCGAUUCGUCAGCAUGCAUUUCGCAAAUUUGUCUGGUCGAAAUACUGAAACGUAUCGCGUACGUUCGUUGUUAGGAUUUCUGACAAGAUUUGCCGGUCGCAUGCCAUAGACGGCAAAAGUUUGUUGAAGUUUGCUGAGAGCGCUGCUAGAAGCAAUCAGAAGCAGCGCCUAUAAAACUACAUAAAUAUACAUAUACAGAUAUAAUUGCAAUAGACGGCAACGGUAGUGAAAGAGUUACGAAGAGAUCGAAGUUUCUGGUUUCUGGUCUACAAUGCUUGGACUCAAUGGCGUAUGUAAGCUUUAGGCUAGGACUGGGACGAAGAUAGCGACGGUGGGGGAUUGUCGGGACUGGUCGGCGUUUCGGUCGCCACCUAGCGGACAGUUGGCAGUCGUAGCAGCGAAGCGCAGGCGGAGGUUCGCUCGCCAUAUUUGUUGUUGUCGCCGAUGGGGUAGGCUAGCAGGAGUUUUCGGGCUGUUAGUGCAGUGGUAGUGUGUAAUCUCGACGUAAGUUAGUCGAAUCGUUCGCGUGCCCGCUUCGGGCUGGACCUUCGUGGAAGAUAUUGCGGACACAGUGCGAAAUGUCUCUUACAUAAAACUGGUGGGGCUCUGGUGGCUCAGCUGUCCUACUCUGUUGUCGAGUGCGCGAUUCUAUGUGUGUAGCAUGCGCGUAUACAUAUAAUCUGUGUUUGUGUACUACUCCCCAUUCUGUUCUUGGUUCGGUACUGUUCGUUCGGUGCUGCUGCUCACAGCAGUAGUAGUAGUAGUAGUAGUAAUAGUAGUAGUAGUGUAGUAGUGUAGUAGGUAGUAGGUAGUAGUAGUAGUAGGUGGUAGGUGAAGGAAAAGGAGAGGAGGGGUGUGAAGUGCACCAGUGACGGAACGGUAAACUCGUUAGAGAGGGUGAGCGCCUGUAUUAUGCGCGUGUACGUAUACGUUGCACGUACGCGUGGAAGAAAGGUGUGAAAGGUGGCACAGCGAGACCGAGACCCAAGAGGUGGUGUGGAUGCGGUGGCGAUCGGUACGGGGGAGAAGGGUGCCGGGUUAUCAGGUCGCACCCGAACGGUGGCUCGGUUGGUAAGGGGCGGCGGCGGUGUCGUCGCUUCGUGAUUGCGGUGGGGCCGUCGUCGGAGGGUAAACAUUACUCUUGGGGGGCGCAGUGGCCCGCAGUGUCGCGCGUGUCGAUUCCUACGAUAAUUAAAACUGGCGGGCAACCUGGCUCGGUCUCCCGUGGCGGUGGGUGGUAGCGGCGGAGGCAGGCGCGGCGGCAGCGGUGCAGCAGCAG